UAAUUGACAGCUUCAUCAACCUUUUUUUGCACAAUGUCCCUCAUGCUCAAACCAACCCUAGAUACCCGAACACCGGUUAUCUUCUGCCGGAAGUAAUCAUCUGGAUCCUGCACUCCCACUGGGACACCAAGUGGAAAUCCGAACUCUCCAUCCACCAGUCUUCCAGAUUCAACUUCAGAAGCAAGUCUCUUGUCAAAGGUUGACUUGACAUUCUUUUCCCAUUCAGCAACACUCCCAACACUACCAUACUUCUUCAAGAGGUACCGGACAUAGAUUA
rnacentral:misc_RNA from 1 species